ensembl:lncRNA
GGAAGGGACUAGCCUCACACCCCGGGGAAAUGUAUUUAAGCUCAGGACCCGAUCUUAAAACCCUGCACGAGCAUGCAGCAGGCCACAUGGAGUACAGGGACACUACCACCAACUUGCACUGAGCUUGAAGACCAACUAACUGCACUGAUGAACAGACGACGCAAGAGCUCGAGCUCAAGUGCGCAUGCUUGGAGCCUUCUGGGCUGCCCAACCAUUGGCUCCACCCUUGGCAGGAGGCACCAGAAGUCCCAGCCAAUCCCAAACACGGAACGGAAAACCUCCCUUAGUGGCAGUUGGAAGGCGUUGGCUAUUCCAGCCCAGUGGCCUUUAGUUAGGCUGGUCCCACGAAGAACGCAAUAGCUAGGCUCGACAAAGAUCUUCAUGCUGUCCUCUGUGAAGCGACUGAGUAGCUCACAGCUAUGGUGAAGAGAGAACCUUGAACCCCAGAACCAACCUGUGUGCCUUGCUGCUGCUGCUGCUGCUGCUGCUGCUACUGGCAGACUCUUCAGAGCAUGUGGUCCUUCAGAGAGAGAACCUGGUCACAGGACAGAGCACCACGACUCAUCCGUCUGUGUAGAUGAUGUGGUCUAGCUUCUCUGGGAAGCAGCCAUGCAGAUGCCUGAACUCAAGUCCCAUUGCAGAAGAUGAGCUACCACCACCAACCAGAGAUCCAGACAAGGACGUGAUACCUGGAAGUUUUUCUGGCAUGGGCAGGAGUGUGGGCGAGGGCAGGUAUCAUUAUGCAAAACAGCAUGGGAUUGAUGGAUUCUGUGAUGAGAUGGCCCUUGGAAACGAGAGAGGUUCCUGCUUGUAGAACACUGGUACCAUCAUCUGGCCAGUCUCGAAGUGCUUGUACACUACACCUUCUUAAGGUCUCUGCCAACUCGCAAUGUAUUUCAACGCGAUAUUAAAACAUGUGUGCCCUCGAUGACAUAUGAACUGAAGAAAAUGUAUAUAAGACAUUUUCCAAAUAUAAAUGAAGCAUUUGGUUCUAUACAUAAUUGAUAAAGGUCUCUUCAUACUAUUUGGGUUCAAAAAUUUAAGCCUUUAACUCAAAGCAGUGAGAACUAGUCUAUUAAUCCAUGGAGGCGUAAUUGCUGGCUGUGCCAGAUCCCUUCGUUUUAACUGUGAAAGAUCAUGCAAACCUUUGUCUCCAGUCCAUUGGGUUGUGUGGUGCCUUACUGUUCUAUUGUGAUGGGACACCAUGACCAAGGCGACUUGGAAAAGGAAACAUUUAAGUGGGCCUUGAUUACUGUUUUAGAGGGUUAGUCUUUCAUGGUGGGGAGCAUGACAACAGGCAAGCAUGACAUUGGAGCAGUAGCUGAGAGUUUACAUCUGGUGCAAAAGAUAGAGGCAGAGAAAGGGUGUGCGACUGAGCCCGCCUGGGAGUUUUAAAUGUCAGAGCCCACCCCUAAUGACACACCUCCAGCAAGACCACACCCACUCUAACAAGGCCAUACAUCUAAUCCUUCCCAGACAGUUCCACUGAGUACCAAGCAGUUACCACCACAGCUUGCUUUAAAGUUCUCCCAGUCUAAGACCCAUGGUUUCAGAUCCAGGCAACUCCCAUGUAACCCUGACCUGGUGGACUCACUUUGCUGUUGAUCUUGGUAGUUCUAGGCCUAGCACACAGCUUUCCUUCCCCAUGGGGCCACUCCUUAGGAAUCCCUAUUGUGAACAGACUGCCAAUGUAAGUUGCCCUCCUGAUUUGGGUCUUCAAUAUCCUACCAAAUGUCCUGAUGGCACCGCGUGGUAGUGUUUAGAGCUGUCACCCUAAGGGCUCUGAAAUUGACAAUAUUCAUUCAUAGUCUCAUAGUCUCAUAGUCUAAGGGGCUACUGUGGAGCCGAUAGAAAUUCUAGGAAGUGGGGGAACAUUGGAAAUGUGACGUUGAGGGGAGGUUUUGUGCAGUCUCUUCCUCUCCCUAUUUCCAGUUGCCAUGAAAUGAACAGGUUUGGUCUGUCACACAUACACAUACACACACACACACACACAUACACACACACACACACACAUACACACACACAUACACAUACACACACACAUACACACACACACACACAUACACACACACAUACACAUACACACACAUACAUACAUACACACAUACACACACACAUACACACACAUACACACACACAUACACACACACAUACACACACAUACAUACACACAUACACACACACAUACACACACACAUACACACACACAUACACACACACAUACACACACACAUACACACACACACACACACACACACACACACACACACACACACACACACCAUGAUGUUCUGCCUCCAUUGGGCCCAAAGUAACAAAUUGACUAUGGAUGAAAAUGAAAAUCUCUGAAACCAUGAGCCACAAAUCUUUUAAGUUCAUUUUCUCAGGGUAUUUUUAUCACAGGGUAGAAAGCUACCACAGCUAUAGUCAGAACCUAGGCCCCAACUGCCAAAUCCUGUCUUUCAGCGGAUGACCGCUUACUCUCAGAGACUUUGUUGAACCCCUGUCAGGCAAAGAAAGGAGGUGGGGUGUGUGUGUGUGUGUGUGUGUGUGUGUGUGUGUGUGUGUGUUGGAGGAUUCUUACAUUUUGAAACAUACAAAUGGAGUCAAUUUUGAACUAAGGGCAAGGGAAAUAUAACUCAACACAAAAUGUCUUUCUGUCCUUAAUUAAAAAGGAGAUCUUCUCUCUCUGGGUGACCCAGCCUAGUCAGGAGUGAAAAGAAACAAGUUGGUCUGUCCCCCGUGUUCUAUCUGUCUACAGCAAGCCACCUCCAUCUAGUCUUCUUUCAAUGUCCCAAGCAGUAGCCUGUUUGUCUUUAUUCAUCCCACCCUCAUGAUGCUGUCGGAUGUUAGCUUUUCUACCCAGCUACUGUGAUGAUAAAGUCAAUGGGCUACUCAGGAGUGGGCAUUAACAUUUUAUCGAAUGGAUGGUUGGGGGGUGGCAAGAGCAGAGCUGAGCGUUCAGUACCUUUGCCACAGUAUUCAGGAAUCAAAGUUUUAAUGCUGCUCUAGUGGGAAGCUGUAAGGAUGCAGUGGGACGGAGGAUGUGAUGUCACUUGAGACUUUCAGCUUCCAUAGAACUUGGAAAUGAUGGCUGUUUGCAGAACAUGGAGACAAUGGUGACUUGCUCUAAGAAACAUUUUGUCUUCCCUUCUUGCUGGGUUCACAAGCUUUGUAUCCCAUUGCCCUGAGCUUACUCUCUGU